rnacentral:rRNA from 1 species
CAGUAGCCGCGGUAAUACAGAGGGUGCUAGCGUUAAUCGGAUUUACUGGGCGUAAAGCGUGCGUAGGCGGCUUUUUAAGUCGGAUGUGAAAUCCCUGAGCUUAACUUAGGAAUUGCAUUCGAUACUGGGAAGCUAGAGUAUGGGAGAGGAUGGUAGAAUUCCAGGUGUAGCGGUGAAAUGCGUAGAGAUCUGGAGGAAUACCGAUGGCGAAGGCAGCCAUCUGGCCUAAUACUAACGCUGAGGUACGAAAGCAUGGGGAGCAAACAGGAUUAGAUACCCCUGUAGUCCCUGUCUCUUAUAC